rnacentral:rRNA from 1 species
UACGUAGGGUCCGAGCGUUGUCCGGAAUUACUGGGCGUAAAGAGCUCGUAGGUGGUUUGUCACGUUGUUCGUGAAAACCCACAGCUCAACUGUGGGCGUGCGAGCGAUACGGGCGGACUAGAGUUCGGUAGGGGAGACUGGAAUUCCUGGUGUAGCGGUGAAAUGCGCAGAUAUCAGGAGGAACACCGGUGGCGAAGGCGGGUCUCUGGGCCGAUACUGACGCUGAGGAGCGAAAGCGUGGGGAGCGAACAGG